AAAAAGAAAAGAAAAGAAAAAGAAAAAAAGAAAAAAA
rnacentral:ribozyme from 1 species